rnacentral:rRNA from 1 species
GACGAACGCUGGCGGCGUGCUUAACACAUGCAAGUCGAACGAAAAUACCAAGCUUGCUUGGUUGAUUAGUGGCGAACGGGUGAGUAACACGUGAGUAACCUGCCCCUUACUUUCCUGGAUAACUGCUCGAAAGGGUAGCUAAUACGGGAUAUUCUGACCAGCCUGCAUGGGUUGGUUUGGAAAGGUUGUUUUUCUGGUAAGGGAUGGGCUCGCGGCCUAUCAGCUUGUUGGUGGGGUGAUGGCCUACCAAGGCUUUGACGGGUAGCCGGCCUGAGAGGGUGGACGGUAACACUGGGACUGAGAUACGGCCCAGACUCCUACGGGAGGCAGCAGUGGGGAAUAUUGCACAAUGGGCGCAAGCCUGAUGCAGCGACGCCGCGUGAGGGAUGAAGGCCUUCGGGUUGUAAACCUCUUUCGUCAGGGAACAAGGCACUGCUUUUUUGGUGGUGUUGAGGGUACCUGGAUAAGAAGCGCCGGCUAACUACGU